rnacentral:rRNA from 1 species
AGUGAACGCUGGCGGUAGGCCUAACACAUGCAAGUCGAACGGCAGCACAGUAAGAGCUUGCUCUUACGGGUGGCGAGUGGCGGACGGGUGAGGAAUACAUCGGAAUCUACUUUUUCGUGGGGGAUAACGUAGGGAAACUUACGCUACUACCGCAUACGACCUACGGGUGAAAUCAGGGGAUCUUCGGACCUUUCGCGAUUGAAUGAGCCGAUGUCGGAUUAGCUAGUUGGCGGGGUAAAGGCCCACCAAGGCGACGAUCCGUAGCUGGACUGAGAGGAUGAUCAGCCACACUGGAACUGAGACACGGUCCAGACUCCUACGGGAGGCAGCAGUGGGGAAUAUUGGACAAUGGGCGCAAGCCUGAUCCAGCCAUACCGCGUGGGUGAAGAAGGCCUUCGGGUUGUAAAGCCCUUUUGUUGGGAAAGAAAAGCAGCAGGUUAAUACCCCGCUGUUCUGACGGUACCCAAAGAAUAAGCACCGGCUAACUUCGUG